UUAUCAGGUCUUGACAUCCCGAUGCUAUUUCUAGAGAUAGAAAGUUACUUCGGUACAUCGGUGACAGGUGGUGCAUGGUUGUCGUCAGCUCGUGUCGUGAGAUGUUGGGUUAAGUCCCGCAACGAGCGCAACCCCUAUUGUUAGUUGCCAUCAUUCAGUUGGGCACUCUAGCGAGACUGCCGGUAAUAAACCGGAGGAAGGUGGGGAUGACGUCAAAUCAUCAUGCCCCUUAUGACCUGGGCUACACACGUGCUACAAUGGUUGGUACAACGAGUUGCGAGUCGGUGACGGCGAGCUAAUCUCUUAAAGCCAAUCUCAGUUCGGAUUGUAGGCUGCAACUCGCCUACAUGAAGUCGGAAUCGCUAGUAAUCGCGGAUCAGCACGCCGCGGUGAAUACGUUCCCGGGCCUU
rnacentral:rRNA from 1 species